rnacentral:rRNA from 1 species
AAAUUGAAGAGUUUGAUCAUGGCUCAGAUUGAACGCUGGCGGCAGGCCUAACACAUGCAAGUCGAACGGUAACAGGAAGCAGCUUGCUGCUUCGCUGACGAGUGGCGGACGGGUGAGUAAUGUCUGGGAAACUGCCUGAUGGAGGGGGAUAACUACUGGAAACGGUAGCUAAUACCGCAUAACGUCGCAAGACCAAAGAGGGGGACCUUCGGGCCUCUUGCCAUCGGAUGUGCCCAGAUGGGAUUAGCUUGUUGGUGGGGUAACGGCUCACCAAGGCGACGAUCCCUAGCUGGUCUGAGAGGAUGACCAGCCACACUGGAACUGAGACACGGUCCAGACUCCUACGGGAGGCAGCAGUGGGGAAUAUUGCACAAUGGGCGCAAGCCUGAUGCAGCCAUGCCGCGUGUAUGAAGAAGGCCUUCGGGUUGUAAAGUACUUUCAGCGGGGAGGAAGGGAGUAAAGUUAAUACCUUUGCUCAUUGACGUUACCCGCAGAAGAAGCACCGGCUAACUCCGUGCCAGCAGCCGCGGUAAUACGGAGGGUGCAAGCGUUAAUCGGAAUUACUGGGCGUAAAGCGCACGCAGGCGGUUUGUUAAGUCAGAUGUGAAAUCCCCGGGCUCAACCUGGGAACUGCAUCUGAUACUGGCAAGCUUGAGUCUCGUAGAGGGGGGGUAGAAUUCCAGGUGUAGCGGUGAAAUGCGUAGAGAUCUGGAGGAAUACCGGUGGCGAAGGCGGCCCCCUGGACGAAGACUGACGCUCAGGUGCGAAAGCGUGGGGAGCAAACAGGAUUAGAUACCCUGGUAGUCCACGCCGUAAACGAUGUCGACUUGGAGGUUGUGCCCUUGAGGCGUGGCUUCCGGAGCUAACGCGUUAAGUCGACCGCCUGGGGAGUACGGCCGCAAGGUUAAAACUCAAAUGAAUUGACGGGGGCCCGCACAAGCGGUGGAGCAUGUGGUUUAAUUCGAUGCAACGCGAAGAACCUUACCUGGUCUUGACAUCCACGGAAGUUUUCAGAGAUGAGAAUGUGCCUUCGGGAACCGUGAGACAGGUGCUGCAUGGCUGUCGUCAGCUCGUGUUGUGAAAUGUUGGGUUAAGUCCCGCAACGAGCGCAACCCUUAUCCUUUGUUGCCAGCGGUCCGGCCGGGAACUCAAAGGAGACUGCCAGUGAUAAACUGGAGGAAGGUGGGGAUGACGUCAAGUCAUCAUGGCCCUUACGACCAGGGCUACACACGUGCUACAAUGGCGCAUACAAAGAGAAGCGACCUCGCGAGAGCAAGCGGACCUCAUAAAGUGCGUCGUAGUCCGGAUUGGAGUCUGCAACUCGACUCCAUGAAGUCGGAAUCGCUAGUAAUCGUGGAUCAGAAUGCCACGGUGAAUACGUUCCCGGGCCUUGUACACACCGCCCGUCACACCAUGGGAGUGGGUUGCAAAAGAAGUAGGUAGCUUAACCUUCGGGAGGGCGCUUACCACUUUGUGAUUCAUGACUGGGGUGAAGUCGUAACAAGGUAACCGUAGGGGAACCUGCGGUUGGAUCACCUCCUUACCUUAAAGAAGC